rnacentral:rRNA from 1 species
UACGUAGGCAGCAAGCGUUGUUCGGAGUUACUGGGCGUAAAGGGUGUGUAGGCGGCUGUCUAAGUUUGGUGUGAAAUCUCCUGGCUCAACCGGGAGGGUGCGCCGAAAACUGGAUGGCUAGAGGGUGGGAUGGGUAAGUGGAAUUCCUGGUGUAGCGGUGAAAUGCGUAGAUAUCAGGAGGAACACCGGUGGUGUAGACGGCUUACUGGACCAUCACUGACGCUGAGACACGAAAGCGUGGGUAGCAAACAGG